AGUAAUGAUACAAAGCAAUGGCCAUUAUAUCGGUAUAUAUUUUAAAUGAAUGAAAGCUUGACAUUUCUGUAAAUGCAGGCAACCAAGCUCUUUGAUUGAGAGUGAUGUAAGAAGAUGACUGGACUUUCUUCAAAGGAUGCAGUAGGCUGCACCGUUUUCCACACACAACAAGCCAUCGUUACAACACCGGAGUACAUGCUGCCCCCUUGGCUGAGGUUUCACACAACUGCAGAAAUGGGGGACACGCCCAACGUAGCUGCGAGAGGCUAUCGACGCUACAACACAGUUCAACAGACCCAACUACCGAGGCAGGCUACCGACAAGGAAACACAUAAAACACUCGCUAAAGCAAUACUAAAGGAAAGUACUAACGCCUAGCGUGUGAGUCUGAUUCCAAGUUGUAGAUCAGUUUGUUUUCCCCCACGGCUACAGACACGGGGAAAACACCCGACGCAGCUGCGAGAGUCUAUCUACGUCUUGGAGUGGGGGAAAGGAGAGCUCCUCAGCCAGCCAUUGACUACCGAACUAGCCAUCAACUCCAGUACCAGCCAUCGACUAUCGGACCAGGCAUCGACUAACGGCCUCUGCUCGGGAGGAAGAGCCGAACUCUGGUCGGGUAGAGCCGAACGAAAGAACCUAGCUCGGGUAGAGCCGAACAAAUGAACAACAGCCACCGCUCUGUGAGUGAAGCAACUGCUGUACUAGUUUUGCCCUGUGCUCAUAGUGCUACUCUUACUUAUAGUCCUAACUCCUAGACUUCCUAUACGUUUCUAACUGGGCGUUUAGUCGUUUUAAAAUGAAUCAUUCCAACACAUGCUUUCUAAGAUAUUGUCACUAUUGUAAAAUCUUGUAAUAUAUAGCCUUUGAUUGUACUUUGCCCUUCUCUGUGGUUGUGUUUGCCGUGGGAUCUUAGAGCUCUGCUUUUGACACGUGGAUACAUUUUCACUUUAAACUGUUAUGAUCUGAGGCCUAUUGUAGCUUCUCAGAUCAUCCAGACUUAGCAAUAGUCAUCAUGACUA
rnacentral:lncRNA from 13 species